rnacentral:rRNA from 1 species
UUUGGUUAAGUUAGAAAGGGCGCACGGUGGAUGCCUUGACACUAGGAGUCGAUGAAGGACGGGACUAACGCCGAUAUGCUUCGGGGAGCUGUAAGUAAGCUUUGAUCCGAAGAUUUCCGAAUGGGGAAACCCACCAUACGUAAUGGUAUGGUAUCCUUAUCUGAAUACAUAGGGUAAGGAAGACAGACCCAGGGAACUGAAACAUCUAAGUACCUGGAGGAAGAGAAAGCAAAUGCGAUUUCCUGAGUAGCGGCGAGCGAAACGGAACAUAGCCCAAACCAAGAGGCUUGCCUCUUGGGGUUGUAGGACAUUCUAUACGGAGUUACAAAGGAACGAGGUAGACGAAGCGACCUGGAAAGGUCCGUCGUAGAGGGUAACAACCCCGUAGUCGAAACUUCGUUCUCUCUUGAAUGUAUCCUGAGUACGGCGGAACACGUGAAAUUCCGUCGGAAUCUGGGAGGACCAUCUCCCAAGGCUAAAUACUCCCUAGUGAUCGAUAGUGAACCAGUACCGUGAGGGAAAGGUGAAAAGCACCCCGGAAGGGGAGUGAAAGAGAUCCUGAAACCGUGUGCCUACAAAUAGUCAGAGCCCGUUAACGGGUGAUGGCGUGCCUUUUGUAGAAUGAACCGGCGAGUUACGAUCCCGUGCGAGGUUAAGCUGAAGAGGCGGAGCCGCAGCGAAAGCGAGUCUGAAUAGGGCGUUUAGUACGUGGUCGUAGACCCGAAACCAGGUGAUCUACCCAUGUCCAGGGUGAAGUUCAGGUAACACUGAAUGGAGGCCCGAACCCACGCACGUUGAAAAGUGCGGGGAUGAGGUGUGGGUAGCGGAGAAAUUCCAAUCGAACCUGGAGAUAGCUGGUUCUCCCCGAAAUAGCUUUAGGGCUAGCCUUAAGUGUAAGAGUCUUGGAGGUAGAGCACUGAUUGGACUAGGGGUCCUCAUCGGAUUACCGAAUUCAGUCAAACUCCGAAUGCCAAUGACUUAUCCUUAGGAGUCAGACUGCGAGUGAUAAGAUCCGUAGUCAAAAGGGAAACAGCCCAGACCGCCAGCUAAGGUCCCAAAGUGUGUAUUAAGUGGAAAAGGAUGUGGAGUUGCUUAGACAACUAGGAUGUUGGCUUAGAAGCAGCCACCAUUUAAAGAGUGCGUAAUAGCUCACUAGUCGAGUGACUCUGCGCCGAAAAUGUACCGGGGCUAAAUACACCACCGAAGCUGCGGAUUGAUACCAAUGGUAUCAGUGGUAGGGGAGCGUUCUAAGGACAGUGAAGUCAGACCGUAAGGACUGGUGGAGUGCUUAGAAGUGAGAAUGCCGGUAUGAGUAGCGAAAGACGGGUGAGAAUCCCGUCCACCGAAUGCCUAAGGUUUCCUGAGGAAGGCUCGUCCGCUCAGGGUUAGUCAGGACCUAAGCCGAGGCCGACAGGCGUAGGCGAUGGACAACAGGUUGAUAUUCCUGUACCACCUCUUUAUCGUUUGAGCAAUGGAGGGACGCAGAAGGAUAGAAGAAGCGUGCGAUUGGUUGUGCACGUCCAAGCAGUUAGGCUGAUAAGUAGGCAAAUCCGCUUAUCGUGAAGGCUGAGCUGUGAUGGGGAAGCUCCUUAUGGAGCGAAGUCUUUGAUUCCCCGCUGCCAAGAAAAGCUUCUAGCGAGAUAAAAGGUGCCUGUACCGCAAACCGACACAGGUAGGCGAGGAGAGAAUCCUAAGGUGUGCGAGAGAACUCUGGUUAAGGAACUCGGCAAAAUGACCCCGUAACUUCGGGAGAAGGGGUGCUUUCUUAACGGAAAGCCGCAGUGAAUAGGCCCAAGCGACUGUUUAGCAAAAACACAGCUCUCUGCGAAGCCGUAAGGCGAAGUAUAGGGGGUGACACCUGCCCGGUGCUGGAAGGUUAAGGAGAGGGGUUAGCGUAAGCGAAGCUCUGAACUGAAGCCCCAGUAAACGGCGGCCGUAACUAUAACGGUCCUAAGGUAGCGAAAUUCCUUGUCGGGUAAGUUCCGACCCGCACGAAAGGUGUAACGAUUUGGGCACUGUCUCAACCAGAGACUCGGUGAAAUUAUAGUACCUGUGAAGAUGCAGGUUACCCGCGACAGGACGGAAAGACCCCGUGGAGCUUUACUGUAGCCUGAUAUUGAAUUUUGGUACAGUUUGUACAGGAUAGGCGGGAGCCAUUGAAACCGGAGCGCUAGCUUCGGUGGAGGCGCUGGUGGGAUACCGCCCUGACUGUAUUGAAAUUCUAACCUACGGGUCUUAUCGACCCGGGAGACAGUGUCAGGUGGGCAGUUUGACUGGGGCGGUCGCCUCCUAAAGUGUAACGGAGGCGCCCAAAGGUUCCCUCAGAAUGGUUGGAAAUCAUUCGUAGAGUGCAAAGGCAUAAGGGAGCUUGACUGCGAGACCUACAAGUCGAGCAGGGACGAAAGUCGGGCUUAGUGAUCCGGUGGUUCCGCAUGGAAGGGCCAUCGCUCAACGGAUAAAAGCUACCCCGGGGAUAACAGGCUUAUCUCCCCCAAGAGUCCACAUCGACGGGGAGGUUUGGCACCUCGAUGUCGGCUCAUCGCAUCCUGGGGCUGUAGUCGGUCCCAAGGGUUGGGCUGUUCGCCCAUUAAAGCGGUACGCGAGCUGGGUUCAGAACGUCGUGAGACAGUUCGGUCCCUAUCCGUCGUGGGCGUAGGAAAUUUGAGAGGAGCUGUCCUUAGUACGAGAGGACCGGGAUGGACGCACCGCUGGUGUACCAGUUGUUCUGCCAAGGGCAUAGCUGGGUAGCUAUGUGCGGAAGGGAUAAGUGCUGAAAGCAUCUAAGCAUGAAGCCCCCCUCAAGAUGAGAUUUCCCAUAGCGUAAGCUAGUAAGAUCCCUGAAAGAUGAUCAGGUUGAUAGGUUCGAGGUGGAAGCAUGGUGACAUGUGGAGCUGACGAAUACUAAUAGAUCGAGGACUUAACCAUAUAUUAU